AACGAACGCUGGCGGCAUGCCUAACACAUGCAAGUCGAACGAGACCUUCGGGUCUAGUGGCGCACGGGUGCGUAACGCGUGGGAACCUGCCCUUAGGUUCGGAAUAACUCCCCGAAAGGGGUGCUAAUACCGGAUAAUGUCUUCGGACCAAAGAUUUAUCGCCUUUGGAUGGGCCCGCGUUGGAUUAGCUAGUUGGUAGGGUAAAAGCCUACCAAGGCGACGUUCCAUAGCUGGUCUGAGAGGAUGAUCAGCAACACUGGGACUGAGACACGGCCCAGACUCCUACGGGAGGCAGCAGUGGGGAAUAUUGGACAAUGGGCGAAAGCCUGAUCCAGCAAUGCCGCGUGAGUGAUGAAGGCCUUAGGGUUGUAAAGCUCUUUUACCCGGGAUGAUAAUGACAGUACCGGGAGAAUAAGCUCCGGCUAACUCCGUG
rnacentral:rRNA from 1 species